UACGUAGGGGGCAAGCGUUAUCCGGAUUUACUGGGUGUAAAGGGAGCGUAGACGGCAAUGCAAGUCUGGAGUGAAAGGCGGGGGCCCAACCCCCGGACUGCUCUGGAAACUGUAUAGCUGGAGUGCAGGAGAGGUAAGUGGAAUUCCUAGUGUAGCGGUGAAAUGCGUAGAUAUUAGGAGGAACACCAGUGGCGAAGGCGGCUUACUGGACUGCAACUGACGUUGAGGCUCGAAAGCGUGGGGAGCAAACAGG
rnacentral:rRNA from 1 species